GUGCUUCUGCGGACUCUCCAGAUGAACACCGACUUUGGAAAAAACCGACAAGCCGAGCAGCUAAGGUUCAAAUUUGCUGGCUAACUGAAAGCAUCCGGUUUAACCUACGCCCUUAGGUGCCCCACCUGUAAAAUGGGAAUGAUAUCAAUGCCUCCCUGGCUGGUAGGUGGCCAGGAUUAAAUCUAGAAAGUGAAUCUGCUAGCAGCUCAGCGUUAGCCGCCCCUCUUGCGGGUGCUGUAUUGGCUGCGGAGUGCUUCUGCCUUUCCAAGCACCACUCCGAAGACGGAGACGCCAAGCCGCGCGCGUCACAUGCGUUAACUCCUGGAAUCCUCCCCACCUCCCCCGGAGGCCCCUCCCCCACCAUUCCAGGGGCCUUUGAACUUACUCAGCUCUGACAGGAAACGGACCCCCCACAGCAGAGAGAUCGGAAGGAGCAGGCCCUCCCUGCCUGCUUCCCGCAGAGCCAGAGGAAGCAGGAGCAACACUGAUGAGUGGAGGAAGUCCCGGAUGAACUGCAUUUCCCCGUCCCUGUGCCUCUGGGUGGGGCCACAGGACUGGCUCUUGCCAAUGGAUUGGGAGUAGAAAUGAUCUACGGUUCGAGGCAGCGUGGCCUUCACCGUGCUCUCUAUCUUUAAGCUGCCAGUUAGCUGAGGACAGGGCCACCCUGAAGCCAGGUGUCAAAGAUGAUGGAAGCACAUGAGGAGUGGUCUCUGCAUGACCUCACAGAGCGGAACCGAGGGAGUACCCCUGGCCUCUGACCAUCAGCGGUGGAGCAAGAUCAACACAAGAAAUAACUUUUUGAGGGCGCCUGGGUGGC